rnacentral:lncRNA from 1 species
UUGAACUGACAUACCACUUACACAAGAAGAAAACGAGAAUCUUUGGCAACAGAGUGCAGGUGAACCGAUUAGAGGUUCAAUCUAUGGCUUAACAUAAAAGGCGUAUAAGAAGAAGAAGUCUUGGUAUUGUGGUUCAUCAUCCUCAAGCUUCAAUGGUGGGGUUAGAGAGACAAUAUCUGUAAUGGAGGAUAAGAUAUCUUAUCUCAAUGCCGAGCUUCCUGCUGUAGCC